AACUUCUCCACUCGCCUCCAGGAAUGGGUGUUGUAAAAGUCAAGUCAGCAUGUAUGAGAACACCAAUCUAUAAGAGUGUUCAACAAAGGAAGGCAUUGUUAUUUUACUAUCAUUAUUUUUACUACUUUAUGUUAUUUUGGAAAGAGCCAAGUCACCGAGGUGUCUUCUAUUAAAUCAAUUAGCCUGGAAGGAGAACUAAGCAAGAUGAGAAACUGAACGUAUCUGUGACUCUGCAAGCAGUCCCUGACGCUGUGGUGGGAUCCAGGCCUGGACGCUGUGGAUAAGGGCUGCUGUGGCCAAAAUAAUUAUUGAUAACAGAAUUUUUGAAUCAAGAGAACUACUCUAUCCAAUGAGCUAAGGCGAGAAAACCUGGCAGCAAGUACAAUGUCCUACUGUGAUUAUUUCAGGAAACCAGCAACAUGGGGACAGAUAAAAGUAAGAAGCAGGUUACCUUCGCUCUCUGGUUUUGGAACCACACCUGGACGACACGGACACUCAGCCCUGUCUCUGCAGCCAGAGUCUCUCUCACCUUGGAAAAAUUGAACGAGAAAUGUAGACACACUGGCAUCUCAGGGUAGGAGGUAGAACAUCUCCUAUAUAAUACUUGAGGAGGCCAAAAGACUGUAUCUGCUUUAGGAGCUGAAUAGUUUUUAAUGUUGAGCAUACACACAAACACGAGAACAUUGCUUCCCUUCAGGUAGAAAGAAAGUCCUUCACCAGGUAACUUUGGGUGUUUCAUGAAUAUCCAUAGUGACUGCUACCCCAAGUGAGCCCUGCCCAAAGAGAAUAAAAUGAGAGCCAUCUGGAACCCGGCAGAGCCAGGAAGUGUGGCCACAGGACUACAUUCUGGCCAACACAUAUGAGGAGAAAUGAUUUGAGCAACCCCUGGAUACAUCCUUAAAAAGCAGGGCGCUUGCCCUCCAUUUCCUCUUUCUCUACCUGGUGACUGGAAACAUGGUGACAACUGGAGCAGUCGCUUGGACACAGGAGAUGGAUAACAGAGCCACCCACCAGCCUUGCCUUGCUCACCUCUGGACUGUGACAGAAGAGAAUAAACUCCUGUCUCAUUAAA
rnacentral:lncRNA from 1 species